UUUAUGGAGAGUUUGAUCCUGGCUCAGGACGAACGCUGGCGGCGUGCCUAACACAUGCAAGUCGAACGGAGAAUUCAAUAAGCUUGCUUAGAGAAUUCUUAGUGGCGGACGGGUGAGUAACGCGUGGGUAACCUACCCAUAAAUUCGGGACAACCCUUGGAAACGAGGGCUAAUACCGGAUAAUCUUAAGAGCUGGCAUCAGGUUUUAAGGAAAGGUGGCCUCUGAGA
rnacentral:ncRNA from 1 species